rnacentral:rRNA from 1 species
CAUAGAGGGUGCCAACCCCGUAGCCGAAAUGUAUCAAUGGCGCGAAGAGUAUCCCAAGUAGCACGGGGCCCGAGAAAUCCCGUGUGAAUCUGCCAGGACCACCUGGUAAGCCUAAAUACUCCCAGAUGACCGAUAGCGGACAAGUACCGUGAGGGAAAGGUGAAAAGUACCCCGGGAGGGGAGUGAAAUAGUACCUGAAACCGUCUGCUUACAAACCGUUCGAGCCUCCCUAGUAGGGGUGAGAGCGUGCCUUUUGAAGAAUGAGCCUGCGAGUUAGUGCUCAGUGGCGAGGUUAACCCGAGUGGGGCAGCCGUAGCGAAAGCGAGUCUUAAUAGGGCGUUUUAGUCGCUGGGUCUAGACCCGAAGCGAAGUGAUCUAUCCAUGGCCAGGUUGAAGCGACGGUAAGACGUCGUGGAGGACC